UACGUAGGGUGCAAGCGUUAAUCGGAAUUACUGGGCGUAAAGCGUGCGCAGGCGGUUUUGUAAGUCAGAAUGUGAAAUCCCCGGGCUUAACCUGGGAACUGCGUUUGAAACUACAAGGCUAGAGUGUGGCAGAGGGGGGUGGAAUUCCACGUGUAGCAGUGAAAUGCGUAGAGAUGUGGAGGAACACCGAUGGCGAAGGCAGCCCCCUGGGUUAACACUGACGCUCAGGCGACGAAAGCGUGGGGAGCAAACAGG
rnacentral:rRNA from 1 species